rnacentral:rRNA from 1 species
AACGUAGGUGGCGAGCGUUAUCCGGAUUUACUGGGCGUAAAGCGUGUGCAGGCGGGGAGACAAGUGGUGUAUGAAAUUUCCCGGCUUAACCGGGAAGGGUUAUGCCAGACUGUCUUUCUGGAGUGCGAGAGAGGGGCGUGGAAUUCCGGGUGUAGCGGUGGAAUGCGUAGAGAUCCGGAAGAACACCGGUGGCGAAGGCGGCCUGCUGGGCAGUAGCUGACACUGAGGCGCGACAGCGUGGGGAGCAAACAGGG